UACGUAGGGGGCGGAGCGUUGUCCGGAUUUACUGGGCGUAAAGCGCGCGUAGGCGGACGCUUAAGUGUGGCCUGAAAGCCCCCGGCUCAACCGGGGAGGGCGGCUGCAAACUGGGCGUCUUGGAGGGCGAUAGAGGUCGGUGGAAUUCCUGGUGUAGCGGUGAAAUGCGUAGAGAUCCGGAAGAACACCGGUGGCGAAGGCGGCCUGCUGGGAUCUUGCUGACGCUGAGGCGCGACAGCGUGGGGAGCAAACAGG
rnacentral:rRNA from 1 species